AAGUCGUAACAAGGUUUCCGUAGGUGAACCUGCGGAAGGAUCAUUAAUGAUUUUUUAAAGCAAACCAAGCUUUUUUUAUAAAAAGUGAGGUUUUGCGAAUGUAUUUAAAACCCCCACUCUUAAAAAAUAUAUAUAUAUUUCAUUCAUAUAAAUGAAUAAAAAAAAAGAUCACUUUCAACAACGGAUCUCUUGGCUCUC
rnacentral:misc_RNA from 1 species